GAUGAACGCUGGCGGCGUGCCUAAUACAUGCAAGUCGAGCGAACGGACGAGAAGAUUGCUUCUCUGAUGUUAGCGGCGGACGGGUGAGUAACACGUGGAUAACCUACCUAUAAGACUGGGAUAACUUCGGGAAACCGGAGCUAAUACCGGAUGAUAUUUUGAACCGCAUGGUUCAAAAGUGAAAGACGGUCUUGCUGUCACUUAUAGAUGGAUCCGCGCUGCAUUAGCUAGUUGGUAAGGUAACGGCUUACCAAGGCAACGAUGCAUAGCCGACCUGAGAGGGUGAUCGGCCACCCUGGAACUGAGACACGGUCCAGACUCCUACGGGAGGCAGCAGUAGGGAAUCUUCCGCAAUGGGCGAAAGCCUGACGGAGCAACGCCGCGUGAGUGAUGAAGGUCUUCGGAUCGUAAAGCUCUGUUAUUAGGGAAGAACAUAUGUGUAAGUAACUGUGCACAUCUUGAUGGUACCUAAUCAGAAAGCCACGGCUAACUACGUG
rnacentral:rRNA from 1 species